rnacentral:rRNA from 1 species
UACGGGGGGGGCAAGCGUUGUUCGGAAUUACUGGGCGUAAAGGGUGCGUAGGUGGCCAGGUAAGUUUGGUGUGAAAGCUCGGAGCUUAACUCCGAAAAGUCAUUGAAUACUAUCUGGCUGGAGGGUCGGAGGGGAGACUGGAAUUCUCGGUGUAGCAGUGAAAUGCGUAGAUAUCGAGAGGAACACCAGUGGCGAAGGCGAGUCUCUGGACGACUCCUGACACUGAGGCACGAAAGCUAGGGGAGCAAACAGG